CACGUAGGGGGCAAGCGUUUGUCCGGAUUUAUUGGGCGUAAAGAGCUCGUAGGCGGCUUAGUAAGUCGGGUGUGAAAACCUCCAGGCUCAACCUGGAGACGCCACCCGAUACUGCUGUGGCUAGAGUCCGGUAGGGGAGCGUGGAAUUCCUGGUGUAGCGGUGAAAUGCGCAGAUAUACAGGAGGAACACCAGCGGCGAAGGCGGCGCUCUGGGCCGUACUGACGCUGAGGAAGCGAAAGCGUGGGGAGCAAACAGG
rnacentral:rRNA from 1 species